rnacentral:rRNA from 1 species
AAUUCGAUGAUACGCGAGGAACCGUUACCUGGGCUCAAAUGUAUGUGACGAUUCUGAAAGGAUACUUCUUCGGACAAUAUACAAGGUGCUGCAUGGUUGUCGUCAGCUCGUGCCGUGAGGUGUCGGGUUAAGUCCCAUAACGAGCGCAACCCCUAUCAUUAGUUGCCAUCAGGUCAAGCUGGGGACUCUAAUGAAACUGCCUACGCAAGUAGUGAGGAAGGUGGGGAUGACGUCAAAUCAGCACGGCCCUUACGUCCAGGGCUACACACGUGCUACAAUGGCCGGCACAACGGGAAGCGAGUUCGCGAGGCAGAGCGGAUCCCUUAAAGCCGGUCCCAGUUCGGAUUGCAGUCUGCAACUCGACUGCAUGAAGCCGGAAUCGCUAGUAAUCGCGGAUCAGCCAAGCCGCGGUGAAUACGUUCCCGGGCCUU